rnacentral:lncRNA from 10 species
UGGUCUGUGAAGAAGAGAAACUUAACAACAAGAAGAGGGAAAGGGAAGGUCGCCUAAGGAGAAGACACAGGAGUAAUGAGAAGACACAGGAGGUAGAGCAGCACUUGCUGACUCAGAAGCAUUAACAUGAAACGCUGGAGUGCAGGGCACAAUAAUGGUUGACUGCAGCCUCAACCUCCAGGGCUCAAGGGAUCCUUCCACCUCAGCCUCCCCAGUAGUUGGGAUUACACAGUUAUUCCACUGAUUGAAAUCUGUGAUACUUAAUAGCUCUUAUGUCUAAUCAUAUCAAUAUGCAGCUGGAUUGAUACACUCCUGCAGGUGGUUGGGGCUCCUUCACUGCCAUGUAUGUCCCUUUUGUUGCAGAUAUUUCAAGAUUCAGCAUCAUUUCAGACCCUGAAAAAUCCCUGAAAAUUGAAUUCUCAAUAGAUAAUGCAACUCCACAUAAUAUCUGGAUUUUGUAAAUGCUUGCUAAUAAAUUAUUUUACAACGUG